CAUUGCCAAUGGCACGCAGAGCUGGAGUCUAGACAGGGAUUAAAGGAGAUGAGGAGAGGCCUUACCUCAAGGGAUACAUGUCAGAAAGUCCAGCAAGAUCCCUCACUAAGUGCUUGAUCCCUCAAACAAGGAGAGCAUUGUGGGUGAGCGCUGCUUAUUUACAGACCUGUCGCCCUCCUGUUUGCUCUAAGCAGCUUUGGAGUCUCUAUCCAGCCUCCAGCCACAGCAAGCUGGAGCAGAGCAGUGGCCUGACAGCCCUGCAGGCUGAGGGGACAGCAGACCACAGGUGCCACAGAAUAAGGAGAUGUGCCUUCCCUCCCCUCAGAUGUUUAUACAUUAAAGGGACCAUGGAGAUUGCUGAUUGUUCCCUACCAUAAUCAUCAAGUUCAUGCUGGCCAGGAGUUCCACCAGCGUGGGGAGAACCCCCGUGUCCACCACGAUUUGGAUGCGGUCGUUGGAGCUGUCGGUCAGCCUGGCUUUGCCACUCCCGGGGUCAGGAGCACCGGCCAGCCCUGCACAGACCAGAGCUCAAACAGCUGGUUUUCCAGCUUAAAGACAAACAUGUAAUCUCUCCUGGACCCUCAGGAGUCAUCCCUGCUUGCUGCCAGUUGGGUGAUGGUGACACCCUGUAAUCCUUCCUACAGCCACCGCAGUGGGGACAGUCCCACUCAGCACUGACCCUUACAGAGCCAGGCUCUCCAUUCCUUGGCCUGGAGGAUUGGCUCUUGAUUUCCUCCAGGAUCCAAUGUGAUCCCUGGCACAGCACAGGCACAGCAAGGGGGGCAGUACCAGGAGCCACAGCAAACCCCUCAGCUGGGUUCAACCCCACAAGUUCAUGCUACAAGCACUGCCCAAGACUGUGACAGAGAGAAGCAUGGCACACAGGGCAUACAACAGGCACCAGCUGAGGUUCCCCAGAGCAGUUUGGGUUACCAGGCUCCUUCCCUCUUUGCCAUCUCUCUAGAGAGCUCCUCAAACAGGAAUAAAUGCCUUUUGCCACCAGGACCCACCACAGCUCCAUGAGCCACCUCCCUCGUGGCCCAGGCAGCCAGGCACAUACCUGAUGGCCUGUGUGGCCAGCAGCUGCAGCCUGGGGUUGUUCUCAUUGAUGCCUUUCACGAUCUCCUCCAAGGACAGCUGAAUAAUCUGUGUCACAGGGAAUGAUUCACAGUCAGACUGGGAGCCGGGACUCCCUCUGGUUUAAUCUCUGCAGUCAAUCAGCUGUCUAGACCCGACUCAGUCACCACUUCAUAUCUAAGCACUGUCUAUUCUUUAUGCAACACAGUUUCGAGAUGAGGCAGAGAAUCCACAAAAGCCUUCAAGGCAACUAAUGCUUAUAAUCAAGCACUGAAAGAGUCCCUGACACACCAUAAUGGGCCUUCGAGCUCAGUAAUUACCCCUCGCUGUGCAGGGAGCCAGACAGGAGCUGUGCCUGCUCCCAGGGAGCCAGAGCACCAGCCUGUUCUACCUGCCAUCAAGGGAGGCCAACAGGACAUCAUCUCCAUGAAAAAUAGCAAAGGCAGAGGCCAGGCAGUCUGAAACACUCCCCAGCACUGGGCAUGGCAAUCAGGAAUGGCACCAGAUACUCAACCCAGGUCACACCAGCUGGACUCAGUAGUGGUCUAAGUAGGGGAUGAUAACUACUGCACUUAUCCUGCCCAGGUGCAGAGGACCCAGCACUCACCUCAUGUGUCCUGUUUUGUCCUGGAAGGACAUUCUCAUCCUUGACAUGAAGGGACACAUUUCUACGCUUCAGGAUCUGCUCAUCCUUCUUGGCCUUCCUCAGCUCAAUGCUCAUCUCCACCCUCUGCAUCCGCAGGGCCUGGAGGGGAGAGGGGCACCAUCCCAACAGUCUGGAUCACCCCAUUCCCCAGGGAGUUCAUCUUUGCAACCUUCUGCCCCACAUUUCCCACAGGAGGAGUGCAGAGAGCCAGCAUCUCCUCACUGUGGCCUGGAGAGUGAUGUAGGAGAUGGGACAGAGUAAACUUCUCCCUCAGUGCCUCCCAAGGACAUGAACUGCUGGAUGAACCGACAGCCAGUGGGGGUUUUUAAAACUAAAUUUGCUGAACUUGAAAGGCAAACCCUCAUCUCCUCUACUGGCUUAAAGCAAGCUGACAGAUCCCAUGGUCUGACAUCCCAUACCAGCCCCCGCUCCACAGGGAUAACUGCUGCAGAGAGCUCAGCAGGCUGGGGCUGAGCCACCCCCUUCCCCAGCCCAGAGUCACCCACAUCCCCCCUGCCUGUGUCACCACACUCCCUGCAGCCCAGCCAGCUCCACAUCACAUCUCAAAAGCCACCUGAGCAUCCCAGCUGGCAUCCCCCUGCUCCCCCUUUGCUACCCCAUACAGGUAGAUUUGAGAGCCAUGGGCCUUCACGAGAGUCUCCAUCUGUUGGAAAGGGGAACAGGCAAACCCCAGUGGGCUCUGCUGUGGCCCAAAGGUGCUGGCACAGGCAGGUGGGUACUCACAGCUGCAUCCUUGCCCUUGUUCUUGAACUUCCUCAUGCGCUGCUCCUGCUUCCCAACCUCCAUCUCAGCAGGGUUGAGAGAGGUGCCAGCUGAACGUCUUCACUUGCUCUUGGGCUUCAGGACAGAGCAGGGUCAGGUCACAACUGCCCAGCAGCAUCCACUGCCAUCCACAGAGGGGGCUGGGACCCCUCCCUCCCACCAGCAGCCUGUGCCACACAUUUCCAUGCCACACUCCCACCGAGGGAGAUGCUGCAGGUCCCCUGCCCCAAGCAGGGCUCGGUAGGAUCCUUACACACUGCAGCUGAGCCACUGAACUAAAUACAGGCACAAACUACCACUUAAUAUCAGGCUACAAAAAUUACAGCUGCUGCUGUAAUCCCAUGAGGAAGCCAGACACAGGCUUCCCAUGGUUACAGAAACACCACCUUCCUCUGGCUCUGAUCCUGGGCCUUUUAGUCUUACUUUGACACACAGCCCAAGCCUAGCAGGGCCUCUUACCUCCAGAAAGAUCAGCUCAAGGACUGAUUUAAGGACACAGCCACAUCCAAGCUUCUCACCCCACCACACAGCCCAACCUGGCCUCCUACAUCAGCACCCUAAAGUAAGGAAGACCCACAGGCACAUGCAGAGGCAUAAAGUGACCAAGUUCAAUGGAGGAAGGAGUUCUCCUGGAAAUCCAGCAGCUAGUGCAGAUUACCAGGUGAGCAACAUUAAAUAGGGACAGGUGAAAGUCCUUUCUAAGCACCGCCUAAUAAAAGCCACAGACAAAACA